rnacentral:rRNA from 1 species
GACGAACGCUGGCGGCGUGCUUAACACAUGCAAGUCGAACGGAAAGCCCCUUUCGGGGGGACUCGAGUGGCGAACGGGUGAAUAACACGUGGGUGAUCUGCCCUGCACUUUGGGAUAAGCCUGGGAAACUGGGUCUAAUACCGAAUAUGAUCAUCAGCUUCAUGGUUGGUGGUGGAAAGCUUUUGCGGUGUGGGAUGGGCCCGCGGCCUAUCAGCUUGUUGGUGGGGUAAUGGCCUACCAAGGCGACGACGGGUAGCCGGCCUGAGAGGGUGACCGGCCACACUGGGACUGAGAUACGGCCCAGACUCCUACGGGAGGCAGCAGUGGGGAAUAUUGCACAAUGGGCGCAAGCCUGAUGCAGCGACGCCGCGUGAGGGACGACGGCCUUCGGGUUGUAAACCUCUUUCAGCACAGACGAAGCGCAAGUGACGGUAUGUGCAGAAGAAGGACCGGCCAACUACGUGCCAGCCGCCGCAGUAAAAC